GUCCGGGUUUUGCUUCAUCGUUCGUCGCGGAGGUGUCCGGGUUUCGUCGCGGAGGUGUCCGGGUUUCGUCGCGGAGGUGUGCAGGUUUCGUCACGGAGGUGUCCGGGUUUCAUCGCGGAGGUGUCUGGGUUUCGUCGCAUCGUUCGUCGCGGAGGUGUCCGGGUUUCGUCUCGUCGUUCAUCGCGGAGGUGUCCGGGUUUCGUCUCAUCGUUCGGCGCGGAGGAGUCCGGGUUUCGUCUCAUCGUUCGGCGCGGAGGUGUCCGGGUUUCGUCUCAUCGUUCGUCGCGGAGGAGUCCGGGUUUCGUCUCAUCGUUUGUCGCGGAGGGGGGGGGGGUCUUGCUUUCGUCUCAUCGUUCAUCGUGAAAGUGACCUUGGUUUUUCUAAUUACAUAUCAUUGUGGUGUCCUAAGAUUUUCUUAACAUGCUUGACAGAGGUGUUGUAACAUUUUUUUGGCAUGCAUCAGAUGUGUCACAAGUCAUAGCAUAUCCCUGGUGCACGACGAGCUGAAAGGACACCACGUGGAACUUCCUAUGGUAUUAUUUGUGCGUCAUGGAGGAGAUAGUGAUUUGGUGCAUGUGGGACCAAAUAGACGCCUGUCAGCUGACACAUUACAGUGUCCAGUUCAGCUUGUACAAUAAAUUUUUCCAUAGUUCGUAUUACCAUGCAUCAUGUUCACUUUUAUGGCUGGCUGCCUGAGUUACAAACCAGUAUGGUUUAUUGUCUUAUUCCUUAUGGAGAUGUUCAUUGACUGUCCCCAUAUUAAUUGUGAAUUUUUUGUGAUUCUAGUCUGUUAUAUGCUUUUAUGUAACUGGUGUCUCCUGCUUUAGAGACAUAAUUGAGACCUUGCCUUUCAAAAAUUAAAACUUGAUCCAUGUGAAGGUACAACAUUGGCAUUCAAAGGUUAGCUUGUGUGCCAUAGUGAUGUCUCAGUUCUUUUUAGCAUUUUCUGUUGUGCAUAAUGUGAAUAGUGAAAUAUUUGGUUUUGUGUAAUUGGCUCAAAGCAGGUAAGACUACGUAUGGUAUUUAAUGAUGUAUACUUAACAUUUGGUGUUGCCAUUUUUGUGCUGGUUGAUUUAGUCACCUGUUGUAUACAAAUUACAUUUACUGGCAGAAAUAUCCCAUAAAGCUGUGGCUUUAACUCUUGAUAUUGGACUGCUCUUAAGAGGUUGUAUGGAACAAAAUUGCAGCAUAUAUCUGAGUAUUAUUUCUUUUCAUUAUGGCCUAUCUACUUCUUCAUUAGAGCAGAUGUAUCCUAAGAAAUUCAGAGGCUGUAUCACUGAAAUCAAAGAGAUGUGAGAGUGAUGAGAGGUAUAGGUAGUAACCGUUCAUUCUGGCACACAAGUGCAGUUGGAUUUUUUUUUUAAAUUUAUUUAUUGAUGUUAGCAGACUCAUCACAGAUAAUCAGCACAUUUUUUAUGCCAAAGACAUAAACUUCCUUUUCAAAUGUAUUUAUGUACACACACUGUAUUACUUUGAAGCAGGUCUCAAUUCUGCAUCACAUACUUACUUGUCAACAUGACUGCAGGAACAAGGUGUGUGUGACACCCCCCCCCCCCCCGCCCCCCCCCCCCCCACA